UGUAGGUUAAGGCGGCGGCUUUUCAGUUAGAUUAGGGCAUCGCCGCAACGAUCAAUGAUAAUCGUGUGUGUAUGUAUCUAUUUGAGUGUAAAGUGCUGAAUCGUUUCGUGAUGCUAUCUGUUUCGAAGUCCAAAAACAGUAAACAAUGAAGAAGACGCUCCAGAAAAACAAAACAAUGAUCUGCCUGAUUGGGUUGGCAAGGGAAAACAGUAGUUCUACUAAACCCGCCUCAAAGUGGACAACGAGAAAUGCCAACAUUCUCAUUGCAGAAUUCCCACUUUGCUUGAUAUUUGUCAGACAACAAAAAUUAUUUGUUACAUUGGUCAUGCAGCUGAUAUGAGGCAAAAGAACCCAAAGGCUGGCAACCCAUUUAAUGAAAUUGCACCUAUUAAAUGGGAGAUAAUUUGUGACCACUGCGAGGGAUUCCUUGUGACUCGGCCAAAUGUGUGCGAGAGAACAUCAGAAGAGCACACAAUUGCUGAAGGUAUGUUUUCGUACACACUUUGAGGUAUUGUAAAACAAACUCAGUACAAUCUUUUUCACGUGAAGAUUAUCUUGUUUAAUAUCCAGGAUACGUAUGGCUCUGAGAUGGUGAAGUAAACAAUGAAGAUGAUGCUCCAAAAAGAUGGAAAACAGUAACUAAGGCUGGCUAAUCUGCUACUUAUCUGCUAUUAAGAAGCUGCUGCUUGUCUACUUGGUUAUUUCGUUGAAGAUAAAGCAACGCGACAUAUCGGGAACUUUUGAAAUUGCAAGAACUAAGUUAAAAGCUGGCAAUGUAGAUGAUUUUUUUCCAAGUAGUUGAACCUACCAAUGUAUUCCUUACCAUAUUGUCUUAUUCUUAUUUCUAUGUAACAUCAAUGCUCAAAAGACUUAAAAUCUAAGUUACUCAAGUAGUUUUUAUAUUUGUCUGUUUAUUUAUUUACCUAUAUAAUGUAUAUAAUACGUUUGUGUGAUGACAGAGGAUCGAUUCAGCACUUUGUAAAAAAAAUUCAUAGUUUACAUGCUACUCACUUGACGUAUAUGUAAUUAAUAUUAUUUUUAAAGUUUUAUACUAAAGAAUGUCAAAUCUUAUAUCUAUAUAAAGCAAAAUCUCGGGCGUCUUACGUGGCGCUCUUUACGCUCUUGAAUCAAAAUCCCUGCUCUCUGCACUUUUGGCUAUUUCUUUUAUAUUUUCUCUCAGCUUGCCUAGCGGUUAUGUUCAGCCUGGGACUUGGACAGGCACUUCAGUUACCCGCUCCGUAACUGAGGUCUCUGUGCCUCCUCAGAGAUUUACUUAUAAAUGGCCUUCUCUGGACAAUCUUUUCACACCGGGGAAAGCCGAUCGGCAUGAAUAUGACGGAUUCAGCUAGAGGGUCAAAGCGGGAUGAAGUCUUAGAUUUGACAGAGGCAAGGAAAGGUGAGGAAAAUCCAGGCAUCCAGCUGUAUGCUCAAAAACAAACCUCCAGCGCAAGUGGAGACUGUUCUAAGUGACUGCUCCUCAGCAGCAGUUCACCAACCUAAGCGCAAGAGCCAUCGUUACAUUCCACAGGGAGAUCUUGUAUGGGCAAUCAGUUCAGACACGAUUCAUUCUCUCGUGGGACUCUCUGAACUUUUCUUUGUACUUCCGCUUAUGAAUUCAGUUCUAGGCCUGUGAGCUUUCAAGGAUGUUCUUGCAUUGGCGUCACUCGACAGGGCCAACAAUUGAGCUGUUGAGAAACAAAAAAAUAAAAGAGGCCUUCGAAGAUGGUUUUAGGAGUUGCGUAAAGAUUUUUAUGGCCAUUGAUCCGAAAUAUAUUGGGCAGACAAAUUUGGCGAAGGGGUGGCCAAAUGGAUGAAAGAAUUUUCUGUUAUGGAGGCCGUUGUAUUACUGAGAGAAAUGCUCUGUGAAAGCGAGAGAUAGAGCACACCUUUAAAAUCCAAAUACAAAAGAUGAUGUUUGCUCAGAGAAAACAGAGGAUGUACUUCAACUACUUUAACUUAAAAAUUUAUGAAAUGUUUUGGGACUUCUUUUAGUGUGAGCAGCCUUUGAGGCUUUGCAAAUUGUAGGAUAAUGGUGGACAAAAAUUGUCUUGUCUUGAUUAAGAUAUUGUAUAAGCUGCUAUUCAUUUGGUUCUCAACUUUUAGACAAAUGUGUUAUCUUUAAUGUAAAAGUUUAAAUUUGCAAUUUUAAAGUUUUUUAUUUUUUUUUCA